rnacentral:lncRNA from 1 species
AUGUUUGUUGGCCUCAUGUAUGUCUUCUUUUGUAAAGUGUCUGUUCAUAUCCUUUACCCAUUUUUGGAUGGGCUUGUUUGUUUUUUUCCUGUAAAUCUGUUUGAGUUCUUUGUAAAUUCUGGAUAUCAGCCCUUUGUCAGAUGGGUAAACUGCAAAAAUUUUUUCCCAUUCUGUUGGUUGCCGAUUCACUCUACUGUGUUCUUUUUGCUUAGAAUUGACUUGGCUAUGCGGGCUCUCUUUUGGUUCCAUAUGAAGUUCAUGGUGGUUUUUUCCAGUUCUGUGAAGAAAGUCAAUGGUAGCUUGAUGGGGAUAGCGUUGAUUCUGUAAAUUACUUUGGGCAGUAUAGCCAUUUUCACGAUAUUAAUUCUUCCUAACCAUGAACAUGGAAUGUUUCUCCAUCUGUUUGUGUCCUCUCUGAUUUCGUUGAGCAGUGGAUUGUAGUUCUCCUUGAAGAGGUCCCUUACGUUCCUUUUGAGUUGUAUUCCAAGGUAUUUUAUUCUUUUUGUAGCAAUUGCGAAUGGCAGUUCGCUCUUGAUUUGGCUUUCUUUAAGUCUGUUAUUGGUGUAGACGAAUGCUUGUGAUUUUUGCACAUUGAUUUUAUAUCCUGAGACUUUGCUGAAGUUGUUUAUCAGUUUCAGGAGUUUUUGGGCUGAGGCGAUGGGGUCUUCUAGGUAUACUAUCAUGUCGUCUGCAAAUAGAGACAAUUUGGCUUCCACCUUUCCUAUUUGAAUACCCUUUAUUUCUUUUUCUUGCCUGAUUGCUCUGGCUAGAACUUCCAGUACUAUAUUGAAUAGGAGUGGUGAGAGAGGGCAUCCUUGUCUAGUACCAGAUUUCAAAGGGAAUGCUUCCAGUUUUUGCCCAUUCAGUAUGAUAUUGGCUGUUGGUUUGUCAUAAAUAGCUUUUAUUACUUUGAGAUACGUUCCAUCGAUACCGAGUUUAUUGAGGGUUUUUAGCAUAAAGGGCUGUUGAAUUUUGUCAAAUGCCUUCUCUGCGUCAAUUGAGAUAAUCAUGUGGUUUUUGUUUUUGGUUCUGUUUAUGUGGUGAAUUACGUUGAUAGACUUGCGUAUGUUGAACCAGCCUUGCAUCCCUGGGAUGAAUCCUACUUGAUCAUGAUGAAUAAGUUUUUUGAUUUGCUGUUGCAAUCGGCUUGCCAAUAUUUUAUUGAAGAUUUUUGCAUCUAUGUUCAUCAUGGAUAUUGGCCUGAAGUUUUCUUUUCUCGUUGGGUCUCUGCCGGGUUUUGGUAUCAGGAUGAUGUUGGUCUCAUAAAAUGAUUUGGGAAGGAUUCCCUCUUUUUGGAUUGUUUGAAAUAGUUUUAGAAGGAAUGGUACCAGCUCCUCCUUGUGUGUCUGGUAGAAUUCGGCUGUGAACCCAUCUGGGCCUGGGCUUUUUUUAUGAGGUAGGCUCUUAAUUGCUGCCUCAACUUCAGACCUUGUUAUUGGUCUAUUCAUAGUUUCAGCUUCCUCCUGGUUUAGGCUUGGGAGGACACAGGAGUCCAGGAAUUUAUCCAUUUCUUCCAGGUUUAGUAGUUUAUGUGCAUAGAGUUGUUUGUAAUAUUCUCUGAUGAUGGUUUGAAUUUCUGUGGAAUCUGUGGUGAUUUCCCCUUUAUCAUUUUUUAUUGCAUCUAUUUGGUUGUUCUCUCUUUUAUUUUUAAUCAAUCUGGCUAGUGGUCUGUCUAUUUUGUUGAUCUUUUCAAAAAACCAGCUCUUGGAUUUAUUGAUUUUUUGAAGGGUUUUUCGUGUCUCAAUCUCCUUCAGCUCAGCUCUGAUCUUAGUAAUUUCUUGUCUUCUGCUGGGUUUUGAGUUUUGUUGAUCUUGCUCCUCCAGCUCUUUCAAUUUUGACGAUAGGGUGUCAAUUUUGGAUCUCUCCAUUCUCCUCAUAUGGGCACUUAUUGCUAUAUACUUUCCUCUAGAGACUGCUUUAAAUGUGUCCCAUAGGUUCUGGCACGUUGUGUCUUCAUUCUCAUUGGUUUCGAAGAACUUCUUUAUUUCUGCCUUCAUUUCGUUGUUUACCCAGUCAACAUUCAAGAGCCAGUUGUUCACUUUCCAUGAAGCUGUGCGGUUCUGGGUCGGUUUCUGAAUUCUGAGUUCUAACUUGAUUGCACUAUGGUCUGAGAGGCUGUUUGUUAUUAUUUCAGUUGUUUUGCAUUUGUUGAGCAGUGCUUUACUUCCAAUUAUGUGGUCAAUUUUAGAGUAGGUGUGAUGUGGUGCUGAGAAGAAUGUGUAUUCUGUGGAUUUGGGGUGGAGAGUUCUGUAAAUGUCCACCAGGUUUGCUUGCUCCAGGUCUGAGUUCAAGCCCUGGGUAUCCUUGUUGAUUUUCUGUCUGGUUGAUCUGUCUAGUAUUGACAGUGGAGUGUUAAAGUCUCCCACUAUUAUUGUGUGGGAGUCUAAGUCCUUCUGUAAGUCAUUAAGAACUUGCCUUAUGUAUCUGGGUGCUCCUGUGUUGGGUCCAUAUAUGUUUAGGAUCGUUAGCUCUUCUUGUUGUAUCGAUCCUUUUACCAUUAUGUAAUGGCCUUCUUUGUCUCUUUUGAUCUUUGUUGCUUUAAAAUCUAUUUUAUCAGAGAUGAGAAUUGCAACUCCUGCUUUUUUUUUGCUUUCCAUUAGCUUGGUAAAUCUUCCUCCAUCCCUUUAUUUUGAGCCUUUGUGUAUCCUUGCAUGUGAGAUGGGUUUCCUGGAUACAGCACACUGAUGGGUUUUGGCUUUUUAUCCAAUUUGCCAGUCUGUGUCUUUUGAUUGGUGCAUUUAGUCCAUUUACAUUUAGGGUUAAUAUUGUUAUGUGUGAAUUUGAUACUGCCAUUUUGAUGCUAAGUGGCUGUUUUGCCUGUUAGUUGUUGUAGAUUCUUCAUUAUGUUGAAGCUCUUUAGCAUUCAGUGUGAUUUUGGAAUGGCUGGUACUGAUUGAUCCUUUCUAUGUGUAGUGCCUCUUUUAGGAGCUCUUGUAAAGCAGGCCUGGUGGUGACAAAAUCUCUGAGUACUUGCUUGUUCGCAAAGGAUUUUAUUCUUCCUUCACUUCUGAAGCUCCGUUUGUCUGGAUAUGAAAUUCUGGGUUGAAAGUUCUUUUCUUUAAGAAUGUUGAAUAUUGGCCCCCACUCUCUUCUGGCUUGUAGUGUUUCUGCCGAGAGAUCUGCUGUGAGUCUGAUGGGCUUCCCUUUGUGGGUGACCCGACCUUUCUCUCUGGCUGCCCUUAGUAUUCUCUCCUUUAUUUCAACCCUGUUGAAUCUGACGAUUAUGUGCCUUGGGGUUGCUCUUCUUGCGGAAUAUCUUUGUGGUGUUCUCUGUAUUUCCUGCAAUUGAGUGUUGGCUUGUCUUGCUAGGUGGGGGAAAUUUUCCUGGAUGAUGUCCUGAAGAGUAUUUUCCAGCUUGGAUUCAUUCUCUUCGUCCCCUUCUGGUACACCUAUCAAACGUAGGUUAGGUCUUUUCACAUAGUCCCACAUUUCUUGGAGACUUUGUUCAUUCCUUUUUGCGCUUUUUUCUCUGAUCUUGGUUUCUCGUUUUAUUUCAUUGAGUUGGUCUUCGACUUCAGAUAUUCUUUCUUCUGCUUGGUAAAUUUGGCUAUUGAAACUUGCGUUUGCUUCGCGAAGUUCUCGUAUUGUGUUUUUCAGCUCCUUUAAUUCAUUCAUAUUCCUCUCUAAGGUAUCCAUUCUUGUUAUCAUUUCCUCGAAUCUUUUUUCAAAUCUUUUUUCAAGGUUCUUAGUUUCUUUGCAUUGAUUUAAUACAUGAUCUUUUAGCUCACAAACGUUUCUCAUUAUCCAUCUUCUGAAGUCUAAUUCCGUCAUUUCGUCACAGUCAUUCUCCGUCCAGCUUUGUUCCCUUGCUGGUGAGGAGUUUUGGUCCUUUCUAGGAGGCGAGGUAUUCUGGUUUCGGGUGUUUUCCUCCUUUUUGCGCUGGUUUCUUCCCAUCUUUGUGGAUUUGUCCGCUGGUCGUCUGCGUAGUUGCUGACUUUUCAUUUGGGUCUCUGAGUGGACACCCAGAAUGUUGAUGAUGAAGUAUUUCUGUUGCUUGGUUUUCCUUCUACCAGUCUAGCCCCUUCGCUGUACAACUGUUGAGGUCCGCUCCAGACCCUGCUUGUCUGGGGUGCACCUCUAGUAGCCGUGGCACAGCGAGGGAUGCUACCAGUUUCUUUUCUGCUCUCUUUGUCCCAGGAUGAUGCCUGCCUAAUGACAGUCUUUUGGAUAUAGAGGGGUCAGGGAGCUGCUUGAGGAGACAGUUUGUACUUUAUAGGGGUUUAAUUGCUGAGCUGUGCACUCUGUUGUUCAUUCAGGGCUGUUAGGCUGCUAUGUUUGAUUCUGCUGCAACACAGCUCAUUAAACAACCCUUUUUUUUUUCUCAAAUGCUCUGUGUUGAGGGGUUUGGGCUUUAUUUUUGGAUGUCCGAUCAGGUGUCCUGC